UACGUAGGGUCCAAGCGUUAUCCGGAAUUACUGGGCGUAAAGAGUUGCGUAGGUGGCAUAGUAAGUAGAUAGUGAAAUUACACGGCUCAACCGUGUGCCCAUUAUCUAAACUGCUAAGCUCGAGUGCGGGAGAGGAAUCUGGAAUUCCCAGUGUAGGAGUGAAAUCCGUAGAUAUUGGGAGGAACACCGAUGGCGUAGGCAGGAUUCUGGCCCGUUACUGACACUAAGGCACGAAAGCGUGGGGAGCGAACGGG
rnacentral:rRNA from 1 species